CAGCAGUCGCGGUAAUACAGAGGGUGCAAGCGUUAAUCGGAAUUACUGGGCGUAAAGGGAGCGUAGGUGGCUCGAUAAGUCAGAUGUGAAAUCCCCGGGCUCAACCUGGGAACUGCAUCUGAUACUGUUGAGCUAGAGUAUGUGAGAGGAAGGUAGAAUUCCAGGUGUAGCGGUGAAAUGCGUAGAGAUCUGGAGGAAUACCGAUGGCGAAGGCAGCCUUCUGGCAUAAUACUGACACUGAGGCUCGAAAGCGUGGGUAGCAAACAGGAUUAGAUACCCUGGUAGUCCACGCCGUAAACGAUGUCUACUAGUCGUUGGGUCCCUUGAGGACUUAGUGACGCAGCUAACGCAAUAAGUAGACCGCCUGGGGAGUACGGCCGCAAGGUUAAAACUCAAAUGAAUUGACGGGGGCCCGCACAAGCGGUGGAGCAUGUGGUUUAAUUCGAUGCAACGCGAAGAACCUUACCUGGUCUUGACAUAUCUAGAAUCCUGCAGAGAUGCGGGAGUGCCUUCGGGAAUUAGAAUACAGGUGCUGCAUGGCUGUCGUCAGCUCGUGUCGUGAGAUGUUGGGUUAAGUCCCGCAACGAGCGCAACCCUUGUCCUUAGUUACCAGCGGGUUAAGCCGGGAACUCUAAGGAUACUGCCAGUGACAAACUGGAGGAAGGCGGGGACGACGUCAAGUCAUCAUGGCCCUUACGACCAGGGCUACACACGUGCUACAAUGGUAGGUACAGAGGGCAGCUACACAGCGAUGUGAUGCGAAUCUCAAAAAGCCUAUCGUAGUCCAGAUUGGAGUCUGCAACUCGACUCCAUGAAGUAGGAAUCGCUAGUAAUCGCGGAUCAGAAUGCCGCGGUGAAUACGUUCCCGGGCCUUGUACACACCGCCCGU
rnacentral:rRNA from 1 species